GGAGCCAGAAAGGUGUGUCCGGUUCCCACCUGCUGGAUACGUCAGUGCCCUGCCCACCCCCCCAGCGCCCGGAAGUUACUGGCAGCCCCGCCUCGCGCGUGCGCACAGCCUGUGAGCCACGUUGGCUGUCGGUGACGGACACUGAGGUGCGACCAGUUCCCUGCGUGGAUGUGGGCCCCCGGGGCGCUGAGCGCACAAGUUAGGGGCACUGCGUUAAAAAUUAGGAUGGCCAACCCGGCACCUGCCUGGAGAUGGCAAAAGUCACGCUUGCGCGUACAAGCACCACGCAGACUUUUUGCUGCGCUCAUGCCGAAUGUGCGUAACCGGAAGUAACUAGAAUUGGGCUGGGAAAGAAGAGCCCUCGAGGCUGUCCUUGCAACCCGGAUAAGGGGGCGGUCAGCUCUUAGUACGCGCUCAGUUCAAGUCUUUGUGCAGGGAGGGUAUUUGCGGGGACAUAGACUACAAAACUUUUGUUGCCCUCCAACUACCACCCCACUCUCCUUCUUUACACGGAAUUGGAAAAGGGAAAGAGCGAGAAGGGGAGGGGGGCGGGGAAUACUAGCCAUGGUUAGGAGCCGGGCUGGGGCUCCUGCAGCGCUCAGCCGACUCCUCCAGGCUGCUCGGGGCCCACGAUGGGACAGCUUGUCAGGUCAGGAGGGAAGUCAGCUGCUUGGCAUCUCUUCAGCCUUAGGGAGGAGUCCUGGCCUGGUCCCUGCUCUGCCCGCCCCCCCUCCCCGCGACGUAACUUGCAUCUCCUUCUAGAGAAACCCUGCGUUAGUAGCUUCUUUCCCUGAUAGCCAGUUGGGUCUGGUUAUGUUUUGGUGUGAACCUUUGGCAUAUAUGUGCUUUUUUAGACUGGAAGAGAGGAGUCUUUAUCUCAUGUCUUACCUAUUUGGGACGCUGAAACACCACAGUGGACCCUUCAAGAGUAGUUAAAAUGUAAAUCACUGCGUCAUAGAGAAUAUCAGAGAGAGGAUUUUUGUAUGCCCAUUUGUAUCAUUUACGUUCCUAGAACAUCUGAGCUGGAAGGUGCUUAAUCUAACACACGUUUUUAGAAUAAUGGAACUCAUAGAUUCUGGUGGGAUUAAACUAGGCAGGAUUUUUAGAGGAGAGGAGAUUACAGGUGGAUUUGAAAGGACUGUGCCUUUUUGCACACUAGUGCAGUCAGCUUUGGGGCCUGUAUGUGUGACAAAGUUUCCCUUUGUACUGCUUGUUUAGAAAAGGAAGCAGAAGAGAAAGUGCCCAGAUUCCAAGAUUCCAAUGAAAGGAUUAGGUUCACCACUAAUUACCUGAUGACCUUGGGUGAAUUACACACAAUUGCUGCUGCUCACCAUCUAUGAUGGAAAUGCUUAACAUCCACCUCCCCAGAAUAACACAGAACUUAAAUAAAUAUCAGAAGAAUUUUGGAAACCUUAAAGUACUACACAGAUUUUAACUAAUUUUUAUUUACAUAGUUAAUUACCAUGUGCUGUACAGCACCCUAGCCAUAUGGGACUUCUGAACACUUGAAAUGUGGCUAGUCCAAAAUGAGAUGUGCUGUAAUUGUAAAAUACAGGAUUGCAAAAUAAGCUAACAAACAGAGACCAGCUUUGAAAACUCCCUGAGAGGACAAAACCAGUCUAGUCAAACAAACAAGGCUUAAUUUAGCUUAUUUUGCAAGACUAACUUGACCUGGGUCAUUUCUUGCUUUUUCCUCUAGAAAUCAUAAGCAAAACUUAAACUGUUUCCCAAGGUUCAUAAGAAGUAACCACUGACCAGUUCCCUAUCAUUUAAGAAAAUUUUAAUGUUACAACAGCAGAGGCCACUUGUAGGCAAACAGGCUUGAGCAAUGGAAUGUAGAAAAGGCCCACAAGGGCUCCCUGGCUGAGUACAGACAGGCGCAUCGGGCCACCCACCUCAAAAUAUCCAUAGGCCCUAACUGACCAAUGGGCUACUUACAACCAGGUAUAGUUACCAAAAAAGGGAGAAUUCCAUACGUGGCCGUACCUCAUCUUCCCCCUUUAAAAACAGCCCCCACCCACUGCCUUGUCCACAGCUUCUCCUUUGCUGUUUUGCCUGCUUCUCCCUUGUGGUGUAUUCAAUAACCUGUUUCCUUUGUUCUGCUGAAGGUGAAUUCUUUCACCUCCCGAGCCAGCAGCUUCCACCUGAUCUUUGCCCCACAUUUUGGAGGCCCCAUCUAUCAAGACAGAUAGACACCAUAAAUAACCAUUUAGACACCAUAAAUAACCCAUUUAGACACCAUAAAUAACCAAUCACAGUAAAGAAUAAACAGUCACUGUUUUGUCACUAAAUAAGCUGUUUUAUAACAAUAUGUGACAACAGUGAACCUCAUUCCAUGUUUUGGUUUGAGUGCUCCUAGUUUGCAAACUCUUUAUUUUGGAGUGUGCACAGUAAACUUUUACUACUUCAAUGACUCCUUGGUUUUACUUCUGUUAUUUCUGAACUUUUGACAGCAUUGUACGUUAUAGUUCCAUAAAACUCUUACAUGUACCUUUAUCUCGUUUGAUCAUUUUACCAACCCCAUGAAAAUACCAGAGACUUCUAACCACAUAUUACAAGUGAGGAAACUGAGGCUCUGAAACCAAAGUAUUAGUUUAGGCUUACACAAAUGUUCCUUACUAUGGGUGUGGUAGUUAUGGGAAGGAAAUAAAGAUGUUGCAAUGGAGACAAGUGUUAACCUCUAUUUAGCUUUGUAAAAGUUUAAUGGCCCAUUAUACUGGGCUUGCAACAUCCCAACAGCCCCUCCUGUGAUGCUCAUGUGGUUGGUAAAGUCCUCUUCUGCAAGCCACAGUCUUGUUCUCUGUCUUCCCUUUUUUGUCCCUGUGAGUCCAGGGAGGCCAUAUUUCCAUUUGGAGUGGGGGUUGGGGCAGGCAAAGGGGACAGUAGGAAAAUAUCUUCUCUCCCAAAUCCACUUAUGAUCUUGGGGCAGAGGACUUUGGGGCCCAAGGUCCUCAACAGGUUAUGUUGACUUGAAGGCACAACAGCUGUUUUUAGUCACUGAUGUGGAGAACAAAGGUAAAAGAAAUGUAGAUAAAUUUCCUUAUAACCUGCAGCAAAUACUUGACAAAUACUUGAGACAGGCUGAGUAUAACAUUCCUCCAGGAACACCCAAUUGUCUUAAUGCUUUGCUGGAGGGAGAAACAAGUGGUUAACUGAUAAAGCUCACAGUAAACUAGUGGUUAACUGACAGAGAUCACAGUCAGGCAGGACAAGAGUCUGUAUCAGUUUGCAACUGUCUUAAUGAUUUACAAGAAAAAAAAGCGAUCUUAUCAAUAGCCAAACUUCCAGAAACCUAUAGAUUCAAAGUCCUGGAACCCUGUCAUCACCCUCCCCUCCAUAGGGUAGAAAAUCAUAUAUAAUCAGUCACUCCUCAUAAUCCUAGGGCAGCUCUUUGUGUCCACGGGUCUUGUCCCUGUGCUUUAAUAAAACCACCUUUUUGCACUAAAGAUGUGUCAAGAAUUCUUUCUUGGCCAUCGGCUCCUAACCCCCACAUUUCCACAUCACUAACCACUGUAUUUCCAGGGCUAACCUCAGUCCAGGGCAGGUGAGAGGAGUACAGGGCUAACCUCAGUGCAGGGCAGGGUAGUUUUGAGAGUGCUUAUAAACUAUAAAGCACUGUACUGCAGUCAUGAGAGGUAGUAAAUGCCCCACUGUGAACGAAAGAAGGAAACGAACAAUUUUGUUUUGUUUUGUUUUGUUUUCAAUGUUUUUGAGAGAGAGAAAGGAAGACAGAGAAUCCAAAGCAGGCUCCGUGCUGUCACCAAAAAGCCUGGUGUGGGGCUCAAACCCAUAAACCUUGAGAUCAUGACCUGAGCUGAAGUCAGACACCUAACCAACUGAGCCACCUAGGUGCCCCCAAGCUGUUUCUAUAGCACAGACAAUUUGCAGAACUGAUUGAGGAGAGAAAGAUGUUUGGAGAAAACAGAAGGGAAACUGGCCUGGGGGAGCAAGAGUUGGAGAAGUGGUCAAGGGGCCUCAAAGGAUUCCAGCCCUAAUUUGUCCUAAAUUGGGAAGUUGCCAGCACAAGUGUGACCUCAGCACUGCUUAGGAUUAUUAAUCUGGCAGGUUCCUUAUACCAGGACAAAUGGAAGGGAAGAACCUGGAACAGGGAGACAUUUAGAAAGCUGGGGCAAUGGCCCAGGCAAGAAUGAGAUGAACAAGGAAUUGAUAAGGGAUAAGGUAGAGCAGAAGUCAGGAGGAGGGAUCCAAGUAAGGGGUCCUGCUGACCUCUCCCUCUGUUGAUCUGGGAUGAGGGCAGAGACAGAAGCUGGAGUUCACUUUCCCACAGUGAAAGAAGACAGGUAAGGAGCUCCCUUACUAGGGAUGGAGGUGGGACUCCAGGGCUGGUAAGGCAAGAGACAGGCUCUUCCAGACCUGCAGGACAGCCGAGAAUAAGUCAGAAGAUGUGAGGAGGGGUAUGAGAGACAGAGUGCAGAAGCAGGUGUAGAUGGUUGACUAUAAAUAAUCUAUCUGAUCUUCUAGUCUCCUGCCCUCGGCCUGAAGAUGUGGGGUCUUAGGCCAGUGCAGCCAUCCCAGAAAAUCAGGAGAUGUUAACUGGUAAUUCCAGAACAAAGGCUUCCAGUGAUUCUUGGGAACACAGUCCUCUACCAUCGGUCCGCCUGCCAUACCCUUACCUUGGAGAGUUCUGCUGCCUGUCAGUACAUUAAGGCUCAGAAAAGCCCCAAGGGAGAGAAACCUGUUUCAUCCUGUUUAAUGGCUCAAUAAACAAGGUUAUUUGCACAGAA